rnacentral:rRNA from 1 species
UACGAAGGGGGCUAGCGUUGCUCGGAAUUAUUGGGCGUAAAGCGCACGUAGGCGGCAUUGCAAGUCGGAUGUGAAAUCCCACGGCUUAACCAUGGAAGUGCAUCCGAAACUGCAGUGCUUGAGUACUUAAGAGGAUCGCGGAAUUCCCGGUGUAGAGGUGAAAUUCGUAGAUAUCAGGAGGAACACCUGCGGCGAAGGCGGCUUUCUGGCUCAUUUCUGACGUUCAGGUACGAAAGCGUGGGUAGCAAACAGG